UACGUAGGUGGCAAGCGUUGUCCGGAAUUAUUGGGCGUAAAGCGCGCGCAGGCGGUCUCUUAAGUCUGAUGUGAAAGCCCACGGCUCAACCGUGGAGGGUCAUUUGAAACUGGUGAUCUUGAGUACGGGAGAGGUGAGUGGAAUUCCCAGUGUAGAGGUGAAAUUCGUAGAUAUUGGGAAGAACACCGGUGGCGAAGGCGGCUCACUGGCCCGUAACUGACGCUCAGGCGCGAUAGCGUGGGGAUCAAACAGG
rnacentral:rRNA from 1 species